rnacentral:rRNA from 1 species
UUAAGGGCGCACGGUGGAUGCCUUGGCACUAGAAGCCGAUGAAGGACGUUACUAACGACGAUAUGCUUUGGGGAGCUGUAAGUAAGCUUUGAUCCAGAGAUUUCCGAAUGGGGAAACCCAGCAUGAGUUAUGUCAUGUUAUCGAUAUGUGAAUACAUAGCAUAUCAGAAGGCACACCCGGAGAACUGAAACAUCUUAGUACCCGGAGGAAGAGAAAGAAAAUUCGAUUCCCUUAGUAGCGGCGAGCGAAACGGGAAGAGCCCAAACCAACAAGCUUGCUUGUUGGGGUUGUAGGACACUCUAUACGGAGUUACAAAGGACGACAUUAGACGAAUCAUCUGGAAAGAUGAAUCAAAGAAGGUAAUAAUCCUGUAGUCGAAAAUGUUGUCUCUCUUGAGUGGAUCCUGAGUACGACGGAGCACGUGAAAUUCCGUCGGAAUCUGGGAGGACCAUCUCCUAAGGCUAAAUACUCUCUAGAGACCGAUAGUGAACCAGUACCGUGAGGGAAAGGUGAAAAGCACCCCGGAAGGGGAGUGAAAUAGAACCUGAAACCGUGUGCUUACAAGUAGUCAGAGCCCGUUAAUGGGUGAUGGCGUGCCUUUUGUAGAAUGAACCGGCGAGUUACGAUUUGAUGCAAGGUUAAGCAGUAAAUGUGGAGCCGUAGCGAAAGCGAGUCUGAAUAGGGCGUUUAGUAUUUGGUCGUAGACCCGAAACCAGGUGAUCUACCCUUGGUCAGGUUGAAGUUCAGGUAACACUGAAUGGAGGACCGAACCGACUUACGUUGAAAAGUGAGCGGAUGAACUGAGGGUAGCGGAGAAAUUCCAAUCGAACCUGGAGAUAGCUGGUUCUCUCCGAAAUAGCUUUAGGGCUAGCCUCAAGUGAUGAUUAUUGGAGGUAGAGCACUGUUUGGACGAGGGGCCCCUCUCGGGUUACCGAAUUCAGACAAACUCCGAAUGCCAAUUAAUUUAACUUGGGAGUCAGAACAUGGGUGAUAAGGUCCGUGUUCGAAAGGGAAACAGCCCAGACCACCAGCUAAGGUCCCAAAAUAUAUGUUAAGUGGAAAAGGAUGUGGCGUUGCCCAGACAACUAGGAUGUUGGCUUAGAAGCAGCCAUCAUUUAAAGAGUGCGUAAUAGCUCACUAGUCGAGUGACACUGCGCCGAAAAUGUACCGGGGCUAAACAUAUUACCGAAGCUGUGGAUUGUCCUUUGGACAAUGGUAGGAGAGCGUUCUAAGGGCGUUGAAGCAUGAUCGUAAGGACAUGUGGAGCGCUUAGAAGUGAGAAUGCCGGUGUGAGUAGCGAAAGACGGGUGAGAAUCCCGUCCACCGAUUGACUAAGGUUUCCAGAGGAAGGCUCGUCCGCUCUGGGUUAGUCGGGUCCUAAGCUGAGGCCGACAGGCGUAGGCGAUGGAUAACAGGUUGAUAUUCCUGUACCACCUAUAAUCGUUUUAAUCGAUGGGGGGACGCAGUAGGAUAGGCGAAGCGUGCGAUUGGAUUGCACGUCUAAGCAGUAAGGCUGAGUAUUAGGCAAAUCCGGUACUCGUUAAGGCUGAGCUGUGAUGGGGAGAAGACAUUGUGUCUUCGAGUCGUUGAUUUCACACUGCCGAGAAAAGCCUCUAGAUAGAAAAUAGGUGCCCGUACCGCAAACCGACACAGGUAGUCAAGAUGAGAAUUCUAAGGUGAGCGAGCGAACUCUCGUUAAGGAACUCGGCAAAAUGACCCCGUAACUUCGGGAGAAGGGGUGCUCUUUAGGGUUAACGCCCAGAAGAGCCGCAGUGAAUAGGCCCAAGCGACUGUUUAUCAAAAACACAGGUCUCUGCUAAACCGUAAGGUGAUGUAUAGGGGCUGACGCCUGCCCGGUGCUGGAAGGUUAAGAGGAGUGGUUAGCUUCUGCGAAGCUACGAAUCGAAGCCCCAGUAAACGGCGGCCGUAACUAUAACGGUCCUAAGGUAGCGAAAUUCCUUGUCGGGUAAGUUCCGACCCGCACGAAAGGCGUAACGAUUUGGGCACUGUCUCAACGAGAGACUCGGUGAAAUCAUAGUACCUGUGAAGAUGCAGGUUACCCGCGACAGGACGGAAAGACCCCGUGGAGCUUUACUGUAGCCUGAUAUUGAAAUUCGGCACAGCUUGUACAGGAUAGGUAGGAGCCUUUGAAACGUGAGCGCUAGCUUACGUGGAGGCGCUGGUGGGAUACUACCCUAGCUGUGUUGGCUUUCUAACCCGCACCACUUAUCGUGGUGGGAGACAGUGUCAGGCGGGCAGUUUGACUGGGGCGGUCGCCUCCUAAAAGGUAACGGAGGCGCUCAAAGGUUCCCUCAGAAUGGUUGGAAAUCAUUCAUAGAGUGUAAAGGCAUAAGGGAGCUUGACUGCGAGACCUACAAGUCGAGCAGGGUCGAAAGACGGACUUAGUGAUCCGGUGGUUCCGCAUGGAAGGGCCAUCGCUCAACGGAUAAAAGCUACCCCGGGGAUAACAGGCUUAUCUCCCCCAAGAGUUCACAUCGACGGGGAGGUUUGGCACCUCGAUGUCGGCUCAUCGCAUCCUGGGGCUGUAGUCGGUCCCAAGGGUUGGGCUGUUCGCCCAUUAAAGCGGUACGCGAGCUGGGUUCAGAACGUCGUGAGACAGUUCGGUCCCUAUCCGUCGUGGGCGUAGGAAAUUUGAGAGGAGCUGUCCUUAGUACGAGAGGACCGGGAUGGACAUACCUCUGGUGUACCAGUUGUCGUGCCAACGGCAUAGCUGGGUAGCUAUGUGUGGACGGGAUAAGUGCUGAAAGCAUCUAAGCAUGAAGCCCCCCUCAAGAUGAGAUUUCCCAACUUCGGUUAUAAGAUCCCUCAAAGAUGAUGAGGUUAAUAGGUUCGAGGUGGAAGCAUGGUGACAUGUGGAGCUGACGAAUACUAAUCGAUCGAAGACUUAAUC